GCGGCGUCAACGUGAUUGCGGGAGCGCGUUCGCCGGGACGAACGCCUGCUUUCGUCGGGACAAACGCCUGCAUUCGUCGGGAGUCUCUCCAGAGAGGCCAUUCAGCGCCUGGACUUGGCACUCGACUUCCUGUUCUCCCGUCACGUCACUGAAAUAUACGAGAAUUUCGUUCGGGCGUCUGCCAUAGCAAGCCAACUCGGCGGGGAGGUUUCAAGAGAAACUGUUGCGCGCGGCCUCGGCAACACGGCUGCGGCAAAGCCACUUCAACGCAGCCAUUGACGCGGGCCCUUGGAAACGACGAGGAGAUUGACGUAACGGAUAAAACAGCGUCUUAAGAAUGCUCAUAACACCACUGCCACAGAGAUUUUCGUUUCUCCUAGCCAUAUACAGC